rnacentral:lncRNA from 1 species
UAAGUCUGCAUUUUAAUAAUGACAAUCUAACAAGUGUAUCAUUGCAGGAUAUAGGAACUACUAAUGUUUUGAAGUCAAAAAGAAAUCCGGAUCCAGGAAUGGAAGGACAUCAAUUCACAAUCUACGACAUUCAAUUAAAUCACCCACAAUGAGAACAAAUGAAAGGAGAAUCUUAGUCCAAAAGUCACAGAAAAUUAGAUCAAACACGAUCAAGUAAAAAAGAUAGAGGAUAUUGGACGAUUGAAGGGUAUCUCAACCAAAGAUAUUGAGGAUAACGACAUCCAAACAUUAUGGAAAGAAAAUCAAUAAAAUACCUUGGAAAUGGAAGAAGGAUCACAAUCCCAGAAUCAUGGAAGAUCAAAUCAGAACAUGAAAGAAGAAAAUCCAUAAUCGGUACAUGGACAUAUUUGAUAUGUUCACGUAUAGUUAUGAAAACUGCACCACGUAUGGACAAAUAUGAUAUGGACAUACAUUAUGGUGCCAUCCCUCAAUCAAGGAAUCAAUUCAAAUCCUUGAUUGAGAAGAAAUCUCUUGGGUUUACUCAUGAAGAAUGGGCAGCAGAAGACUAUAAAGGAAGAAGACUGGAGAUAGAAAUGGGUCACGCAACUUCAAGGACAAAAAUUAAAGUGUCUCAAUAUUAAUCUCACAAGUCUUUGUAACCUUUAGUUUACAAUUAUUAUAUAAAGAGUAGGAUUGAGUCAACUUUGAAACAUCAACUGAAGUUGUCUCACAAGAUCUAAAGACCAAAAUAAGUCUUCAGAACUUGUUUCCAAUCAUUGUACUAGAGCACAACAUUGAAUAAUUUUAGAAAACUUUCAAACCCAA